GACUCCAUGAAGCUGGAUUCGCUAGUAAUCGCGCAUCAGCCACGGCGCGGUGAAUACGUUCCCGGGCCUUGUACACACCGCCCGUCAAGCCAUGGAAGCCGGGGGGUGCCUGAAGUGCGCUGCCGCAAGGAGCGACCUAGGGCAAAACUGGUGACUGGGGCUAAGUCGUAACAAGGUAAC
rnacentral:rRNA from 1 species